AUACGUAGGGGGCAAGCGUUAUCCGGAAUCAUUGGGCGUAAAGAGUGCGUAGGUGGUUACCUAAGCAGGGGGUGAAAGGCACUGGCUUAACCAAUGUCAGCCCCCUGAACUGGGCUACUUGAGUGCAGGAGAGGAAAGCGGAAUUCCUAGUGUAGCGGUGAAAUGCGUAGAUAUUAGGAGGAACACCGAUUGCGAAGGCAUCUGACGAAUCCGUCACUGACGCUGAGGCACGAAAGCGUGGGGAUAGAACAGGAUUAGAUACCCUGGUAUUCCACGCCGUAAACGAUGAAUACUAGGUGUCGGGGGGCAUCCGCCCUUCGGUGCCGCAGCAAACGCAAUAAGUAUUCCACCUGGGGAGUACGUUCGCAAGAAUGAAACUCAAAUGAAUUGACGGGG
rnacentral:rRNA from 1 species